rnacentral:rRNA from 1 species
AGAAUCAACGCUGGCGGCGUGCCUAACACAUGCAAGUCGAACGAGAAAGGGGAGCAAUCCCUGAGUAAAGUGGCGCACGGGUGAGUAACACGUGACUAACCUACCCUGGAGUGGGGGAUAACUGAGGGAAACCUUAGCUAAUACCGCAUAAUACCCACGGGUCAAAGGAGCAAUUCGCUUUGGGAGGGGGUCGCGGCCGAUUAGUUAGUUGGCGGGGUAAUGGCCCACCAAGACGAUGAUCGGUAUCC